rnacentral:rRNA from 1 species
CCUACGGGAGGCAGCAGUGGGGAAUAUUGCACAAUGGGGGAAACCCUGAUGCAGCGACGCCGCGUGAAGGAAGAAGUCUUUCUGUAUGUAAACUUCUAUCAGCCGGGAAGAAAAUCACGGUACCUGACUACGAAGCCCCGGCUAACUACGUGCCAGCAGCCGCGGUAAUACGGAGGGGGCAAGCGUUAUCCGGAUUUACUGGGGGUAAAGGGGGCGUAGGCGGUUUAGCAAGUCAGAAGUGAAAGCCCGGGGCUCAACGCCGGGACUGCUUUUGAAACUGUUGAACUAGAUUGCAGGAGAGGUAAGUGGGAUGCCUAGUGUAGCGGUGAAAUGCGUAGAUAUUAGGAGGAACACCAGUGGCGAAGGCGGCUUACUGGACUGUAAAUGACGCUGAGGCUCGAAAGCGUGGGGAGCAAACAGGAUUAGAUACCCUUGUAGUC